ACUCAAAUAGCUUAAAUUUAAAGCAAAGUAUUGAAGAUACUUUUAUAAGAUUAUCUUUUUGAGUA
rnacentral:tRNA from 1 species